UGCGGAGGAUCAUUAUUGAAUAAACCUGAUGGGCUGUUUGCUGGUUCUCUAGGGAGCAUGUGCACGCCUUGUCAUCUUUAUAUCUCCACCUGUGCACUUUUUGUAGACCUUCCGAGGUCUAUGNUUGCUCAUUUUACCACCAAUGUAUGUCUAUAGAAUGUUGUGNNUUUAUAAUUUAUACNACUUUCAGCAACGGAUCUCUUGGCUCUCGCAUCGAUGAAGAACGCAGCGAAAUGCGAUAAGUAAUGUGAAUUGCAGAAUUCAGUGAAUCAUCGAAUCUUUGAACGCACCUUGCGCUCCUUGGUAUUCCGAGGAGCAUGCCUGUUUGAGUGUCAUUAAAUAUAAUCAACCCUCUCUUUUUUUUUU
rnacentral:misc_RNA from 1 species